GUCGAGAAUCAUUCACAAUGGGGGAAACCCUGAUGGUGUGACGCCGCGUGGAGGAUGAAGGUCUUCGGAUUGUAAACUCCUGUCAUGUGGGAGUAAAGCCGGGUGUUAAAUGCAUGCCGGUCUGAGAGUACCACAAGAGGAAGGGACGGCUAACUCUGUGCCAGCAGCCGCGGUAAUACAGAGGUCCCAAGCGUUGUUCGGAAUCACUGGGCGUAAAGGGUGCGUAGGCGGCGCGGAAAGUCAGGGGUGAAAUCCCGGAGCUCAACGCCGGAACUGCCUUUGAUACUCCCGCGCUUGAGAACUGGAGGGGAGACCGGAAUUCACGGUGGAGCAGUGAAAUGCGUGGAUAUCGUGAGGAACACUAGUGGCGAAGGCGGGUCUCUGGACAGUAUCUGACGCUGAGGCACGAAGGCCAGGGGAGCGAACGGGAUUAGAAACCCUAGUAGUCC
rnacentral:rRNA from 1 species